rnacentral:rRNA from 1 species
AUGGACCCCGCCACGGAGGCCGCACACUCAGUGGCGAUAGAGCCGAACACAGAUCCCACUCCUAAGGAGAUCUUCAUCAUCGGACCCUCGGACUCGUCUCCGGCCAUAGGCACCGAACCGCGCGCGUCCGUGCCUAUCAAACAUGAUUGUUCACCGGUCAUGGAGUUUAGCUCUAUGGAUAUCUUUCAGCACUCGCCCUUGGGCGACGUGCUAAAUUCAUUAAAAUCUCUCUCCAUGUCAGGAGACUCUUGGCCGAACUAUGUCCGGCUUGAGUGGGAAGCGUACGACGAAGAAAUUCAUUCCCCACCCACCACCCACUUAAUAGCCACUGUCGACGACUUAACUGACAUGCUUGAUUUCAACCCCGAAGACAUCGACGGUAUGGACGAAGAUGUCGGAGAAGAAUAG